CUAAAAAUAUUUAUUACAUGCUUUUAAAUAGCAAACAAAUAUAAACCUAUUUUAUUAAAGUGUGAAACUUUUUGUGGCAGAGGGGUAAUUCAAAACACUAAUUUAAGUAUUGGUCUCAUAUUUUUAUAAAACUAAAAUCUACUAGUAAUAAAAUAAAACAGCAAAUAAAAAUAAAUAAAAGAAACUAGAAAAGAAUAAAAAUAAAAAAGCGGAAAAACCCUGGGCUUCUGACCCAUCGGGCAAGUGGGCAGCCCAGCCGGCCCACCCCCACUUGCCUCCUUCCUCUGCUAUAGGGAGGCAGGGGGGUCGUGGCGCUCAUCGCCCGGCCAUGGCGCGCCCCUGCCGCCGUGGCGGGCAUCCGCCGCGCCCCCGUCCUAUAUAGCCUCGCCCCCUUCCCCUCGGCGAACCCUAGCUCCUCCCUCCCUUUCCCCCUCGCGCCCCACGUCCUUUCUCUAUCUCACACACAUACUCUGACCAAAUUAACCACGACGCACCGGAGCACGCCGCUGCGAAUCACCGCGGCCACCGGCCAUCGUCCGCCACACCGAGGGUUCAGGAGGACCACCACCAUCGACUUCGUUCAUCCCGAGCCUCAAAUCGAGCGGGGCCGCCCUGUAUGCUCGCCAUCGACCUCGUUUCCACCGCGUACAUCGUCGUCGUCCGCCGUCGAUUGCCGCCGCCCCGGUCCGUCCCCGACCUCCCCGAGCAUGCCUACAGCUCCGUGAUGGUGGAGCCCAGGAUCCAGCCGCCACCACCGACAACUACUACUACCCUGAGGGUGCUUACUACUACGUGGAGGCCGACGACGACUAGGAGUAGUUAGGAGGUCCUAGGCAGGAGGCCUUGCCUUUUCGAUCGAUGUUGCUUUUGUGCUAGCCUUCUUAAGGCAAAUUUGUCUAACUUAUGUCUGUACUCAAAUAUUGUUGCUUCCGCUGACUCUUGUGUUUUCGAGCUUAUGUAUUCGAGCCCUCGCAGCCCCUGGAUUGUAAUAUAACGCUUGUAUUAUUUUAAUUUGUGUCUAGAGUUG